AAAAAAAAAGGCACGCGCGGUGCACACACACAAUUACAGAAGAUAGAGGGCCGGGUCCGUUCUGACGACAUAAAAUAACAUAUUAAUAUAUCAGCCUAAUUAAACUGAAACAUCCUCUCCAUGAAACAAAAGGAGGUACGGUAAUGAGGGGGAAAAAACCAAUGCAAGAGAAGAGAAUCUGGCGGCUCCUUCAAACACUGGAAGUUAUUUGUAGAAAUUCCAUAAGAAAUAUGGUUCAAAAUUUCAGAGACAUGAGUUUGGGAACACUCUAUUAUAGGCCUUAUUCCGUUGUUGUCUACAUGCAUGCUGGAUCUCUGUUAUCUAACCUUGUUAAUUUUACACAACAGAGAUAUAUAUUAAACACUCUAGGCCUUAUUUGGGGGGUGCAUGAAUUUGGAUUUUGGAAGUUAGCUAAGGAAUGUACGCGCAUAAUUAACCUAGCUACCGAGCUACUAGUAUUGGUAGCUGGGAACCGGCAGUGUCGUCUGGUGGCACACUGCACUACACACAGCAGCAUCGAUCCAAG
rnacentral:misc_RNA from 1 species